UGCGAUCUGGUGUAACGGUAACAUCCCAUUCUCAUAAGGUGGUUAAUCCCGGUUCGAAUCCGGGGAUCGCAA
rnacentral:tRNA from 1 species